rnacentral:rRNA from 1 species
UACGGAGGUGGCAAGCGUUGCUCGGAAUCACUGGGCGUAAAGGGCGCGUAGGCGGGGGGGUAAGUCGGGGGUGAAAUCCCUCGGCCCAACCGAGGAACUGCGCCCGAAACUGCCGUGCUUGAGUGCCGGAGAGGGUGGCGGAAUUCCCCAAGUAGAGGUGAAAUUCGUAGAUAUGGGGAGGAACACCGGUGGCGAAGGCGGCCACCUGGACGGUAACUGACGCUGAGACGCGAAAGCGUGGGGAGCAAACAGG